UUUGUGUCGAGGCCUGAAAGCUGAGAAGGGGUUUCAGCCUGGAUCUGUGGUGCUUCUUCAAGGAGGAGAACAGAAGCAGAGAUACUGCACCGACACCGACAUGCUCUUCAGACAGGAGUCGUUUUUCCACUGGACCUUCGGCGUGACGGAGGCCGACUGCUACGGCGCCAUCGACGUCAACUCCAAGAAAUCCAUCCUGUUUGUUCCCAAGCUGCCGGAGAGCUACGCCACGUGGAUGGGCGAGAUAUACUCUCGUGAACACUUCAAGGAGAAGUACGCCAUCAAUGAGGUGCAUCACACCACCGGACGUG